AAGUGAGUGUGUGUAAGAGUAUCAAAGUGAGUGUGUGUUAAGAGUAUCAAAGUGAGUGUGUGUUAGUGUAUUAAAGUGAGUGUGUGUUAGUGUAUUAAAGUGAGUGUGUGUUAGUUGUAUUAAAGUGAGUGUUGUUAGUGUAUUAAAGUGAGUGUGUGUUAGUGUAUUAAAGUGAGUGUGUGUUAGUAGUAUCAAAGUGAGUGUGCGUUAGAGUAUUGAAGUGUGUGUUCGUUAGAGCAGCGGUCCCCAACUCUUUUGUUUUUGCGCCACGGACCGGUUUAAUAUCAGACAAUAUUUUCACGGACCGGACGUCAAGGUGUGGUGGAUAAAUACAACAAAAUAAAAUGAUACCGGCAUA
ensembl:lncRNA